UCCUGGUGGCUCAUAUGGUAAAGAAUCUGCCUGCAAUGCAGGACACCCAGGUUCGAUCCCUGGAUUAGGAA
rnacentral:tRNA from 1 species